GAUGAAGAACGCAGCGAAAUGCGAUAAGUAAUGCGAAUUGCAGAAUUCAGUGAAUCAUCGAAUCUUUGAACGCACAUUGCGCCCGCCAGUAUUCUGGCGGGCAUGCCUGUCUGAGCGUCGUUUCGACCCUCGCGCCCGGCUUCUGUCGGGGGCGGUGUUGGGGAUCGGCCACACCCUUCAGUGGGAGGCCGGCCCCUAAAUUCAGUGGCGACCACGCUGUAGCCUCCCCUGCGUAGUACUAAAACCACCUCGCAGGCGGAGAGCGGUGCGGCCCGCCGUAAAACCCCCCAACUUUUACAAGGUCGACCUCAGAUCAGGUAGGAAUACCCGCUGAACUUAAGCAUAUCAAUAAGCGGAGA
rnacentral:misc_RNA from 1 species